CGAAGUUUCGGAUGCAUAUUUUGAUCAUCCGAAAGAGCAUUCAGAAGUUGAUUUCUUCAGCUUUUCUUAUAUUUUUCUUUAUUUUCGCUUCGAAAUUCUGAUUUUCAUUUCGUUUUCUCUCCUAAACAAAUCUAACAAAGUCCGAACUCCUCCUAGAUAUUUUGAACACUUUAAAAACCUUUCUAUAUGGGAACAUUGUGAUUUAACCACAUCAAAAGAAUUAGGCUUCGAAGCACUACUAUUGUUUCGAAAUUUUUGUUUUAAAUAAAACUCUUUUCACCGACCGUCCCAAGAGCAAGUGACAAAGUGCUUGGUGGUUGGUACCCGAGACCCAAGUUCGAAUCCUAGUUGAUUCACAUUUCCAGCUAAGUUUAUUUCUAAAUGAAAUAAACGAAGCGGGUAGCGUGGUACUUAUCUCUCAAAAAAAUAAAUAAAUAAAUAAAACUCUUUUCUAAUGCAUUU
rnacentral:lncRNA from 1 species